CCUAGUGAGUGAGUUACUUUUAUGCUGGCUCCUAAAUCGGGGCAAGAUAAAUUAUCAGUCCAUGGACAGAUUUAAGGUGAGAAAAACAAUUAAGGAAGGAAGGUAGGAGGAAACCCCAUUUUCCUCUAAUUAUGCUGUGAAGAAUUGCUCUAAUAGAUCCCUAUUCCCAACCCACCUGAAGCAAAGCAGUAAAGAAUAUAUGAAAAAGGAUGGCGGCCAAGCAAGGCGUAGCGUUCACAAAGCUGCACAUUUUAACUAUUUGGAGUUAAGGCGUAGACAAAGAAGACUAUUUUGAACCUAAAGCUCAGAUACUUUGCCAACCACGUGACAAGAGAAGACUCAUUGGAAAAUACCCUUGAAGGCAAAAGAAGACCGAAAAUGAGAUGGUUAGUGUCAUAGAUAUAAUGAACAUGAAUUUGAACAAACUCUGGAAGACAGAGGAAUCUGAUAUGGUAUAGUCCAUGGGGCCAUGAAGAAUGGGACAUGGCAUAAUGACUGAACAAACAAAUCUUUUGGGGGGAGGGCCAAUGUCUGGAAUCUAUUAGUAGUGAAAUAAUGAAUUAUCAUUAUUUUCAGUAACUGGGAGUCCUACCAACCUAUUCCAUUUAAUUAAAAUUAUCCUAUUUAUUGUAAAUCAUUUAAUAUAAUAGGCCAUAUUAAAUUUAAACCCUAUACUUGGGAGCAAAGACUAUGUAAGAAAAAAAAUACCCAUAUUAAAUUUACUCAUUCACCUGAGUAAAAUAAAAGUCUGGUAUUUUAGGCUGCCUUCUUUAUUAAAUCCAGUGUUCCUUUUCAUUUAAGGACUAAGAUAAGCAGCUCAAAAUAAGAUACAAUUACAAUUCAUUUCUAUAUGUUUUGAUUUUGAAUGCUGUCCUCUUUCAACUUCAAGUUCACAGAUGUCCACAGGUGGAAUUAUUUUUCCUUUUCAUAUAAAGUUGGGUUUUUUCUGUAACAGUUACCUCACGCUUAGUAAUCACUUUUGCUUGGGCCACAAUGUCCAAUUUAAAAUGUUCCUGCAAUAUAAUAUUUCACUUUUCAAAAGUAGUAAUUUGGUGGAUGAUUUUACCAGAUAGACAAUGGUUAGAGAAUGGCCCUAAUCUUUGGGCAGAACAAAAUAAUUAUUUCAGGUGGUAAACUGGGAGAAUGACAGGUAAGGCAAAGUCCUGACUCACUGUUUUCUUGAUCAGAAUACCAUUUUGGAAGACAGAAGUAAGUAGAUUGAUAUGAAGCUACUGAAGCAAAAGUUGUAGCCACUAACAUGUCAUUCUGAGAUUCCUCUAGGCAAAACAUUAUGACUUGCCAUGCUUAAGAACAAUUUGGAAGAAACCUUUUGGACCUUGUGGAAGUGAGAGUCCAUCACUUCUCUGCUCUUCAUUAAAACAGCCUGACUUUGAAAUAACAUGUGAGCCUGAAAAAAGAUGCCUUUGUUUUAACGUGUCUCUCAAACUACUCACAACUUUUAUACUAAUAUGGAUCCCUUGGAGCAACUACGGACUAAAUCGCACAUCAAAAUUACUAUGUUUUUCUGUUAUGUUCUAUUACUCUUAAGACCGAGAAAUAUUGAAAGAAUGCCCACAAAUAUUGAAAGAAUGUAUCAAGGCUUAUACUCUUCAAGAGUGCAGGAAUGGCUUCUGGGUGAGUAGCAGAACUGCAUUCAAGACGGUGAUGCUCAGGAUUUCAAAGGCAGACCCUGACCAGCUUCAGUAAUUUAUAGCCUCCUCAUAUAUUCUUUCAAUUUUGGAAAAAGGAUCCUCUGAAUUUUUUCUCAUCAUCACAUUGUACUUCAUUAUUCAUUGUAUUAAAAACCAAGAGGUGAAAAUGGGUAUGUUGAUAAAAAGAAAUUGCAUUUUAAUGCAAGAACAUUCUGUUUCAGUCUUCCAGCUUGUACUUUACCAUUUGUUUUCACUUCAAAUAUAUUUCUGAUUGUUCCUGCCAGUACAUUUUUUAAAGAAUUUUAUUGUCAGAGCCACCCAAACAAUAAGUUCACUUAAUGCAAAAGAAAAAUUUGCUUGUUAUUACAAUUGACUGCAGAAAAAAGAUAUCAAUGCACAUUAUUACUUUUAGUGUCUACUUUGGACUUAAGCUGUACAUGUUCUUAGAUUUAAGAAUGGACCGAUGCCAUUUUUGGAAC